CCUUUUCUCCGAGUUAUCGAUUUAUUAGCCGACUUUGGAUUCAUGCAGACCUGGGCAAAAGGAAAUAGGGACACAUUGGUUUUCCUGCGAUACAAGAAAAGCGAGCAGACAUUGACGUCACGACAAUUCUAAUCAGCUGCCGAGCUCAGUAUUUUCGUAAAAGCAAAUCGCGAAAUCCUCGAGGAAAAAAAAUCAAGCCAAGGCAUAUACAUAUAUAUAUAAUUGAGCGCAAUUAUUGUUAUUACGCAUAAUUAAUAACAAAGCAAAUCAAUAUAAGGACAAGCACAUAUUUAUAUUUAUAUAUAUAGUAUAUAUAAUAUAUAUAUGCCAAGAAGAUCACUUGAAGUCUUGAAGCAUCAACGCAUUGCUGAAUAAGCAGCACAGAAUACAUAUAUACCCUGCAAUUGAGGCACACUUCGAGACAAAAAGUCUUAUUGGCACGAGUAACGGGUCGGGCUGUUGGCCGCGUGGCAGUUGGCCACAACGGGGCUUUGCAACAUAUUCGGCAAGUGGGUCAGUCUUGGAUGCGAAAUAUCAAGAGUUGCCAUUACAUUAUGUGCAUAAAAAUGCAACAGCCAACGACAGCAGCAACAAUAACAACAACAACAGCAACAACAAGACAAA